rnacentral:rRNA from 1 species
GACGAACCGUACGAACGUUAUUCGGAAUUACUGGGCUUAAAGGGUGCGUAGGCGGCGCGGAAAGUAGGGUGUGAAAUCCCUCGGCUCAACCGAGGAACUGCGCUCUAAACUACCGUGCUUGAGGGAGAUAGAGGUAAGCGGAACUGAGGGUGGAGCGGUGAAAUGCGUUGAUAUCCUCAGGAACACCGGUGGCGAAAGCGACACACUGGGUCUUAACUGACGCUGAGGCACGAAAGCCAGGGGAGCAAACGGG